UUACGGCCAUAUCACGUUGAAACACCAGUUCUCGUACGAUGACCUAAGUUAAGCAACGUUGAGCAUGGCCAGUACCUAGAUGGGUGAACGCUUGGGAAUAACAGGUGCUGCAA